rnacentral:rRNA from 1 species
UCUUCUCCGCCGCGACGGCGCACGGGUGAGUAACACGUAUGCAACCUGCCCCUGUCAGGGGGACAACCCGCCGAAAGGCGGGCUAAACCCGCGUACAUGCCACCGGGGCAUCCCGGAGGCAGGAAAGGCUUCGGCCGGACAGGGAUGGGCAUGCGGCGCAUUAGGCAGUAGGCGGAGUAACGGCCCACCUAACCGACGAUGCGUAGGGGUUCUGAGAGGAAGGUCCCCCACACUGGUACUGAGACACGGGCCAGACUCCUACGGAAGGCAGCAG